GUCUACGGUCAUGAUACCCUGAACAAGUCUGAUCUCAUCUGAUCUCAGACGCUAAGCAGGGUCAGCCCUGGUUAGUACUUGGAUGGGAGACCAUCUAGGAAGACCACGUGCUGUAGGCA
rfam:Pteropus alecto contig92346, whole genome shotgun sequence.